CCUACGGGAGGCAGCAGUAGGGAAUAUUGCUCAAUGGGGGAAACCCUGAAGCAGCAACGCCGCGUGGAGGAUGAAGGUUUUCGGAUUGUAAACUCCUUUUGUUAGAGAAGAUAAUGACGGUAUCUAACGAAUAAGCACCGGCUAACUCCGUGCCAGCAGCCGCGGUAAUACGGAGGGUGGAAGCGUUACUGGGAAUCACUGGGCGUAAAGAGCUCGGAGGCGGGAUAGUAAGUUAAAUGUUAAAUCCUAUGGGCUAAACAUAGAAGUGCAUUUGAAACUGGUGUUCUAGAGUGUGGGAGAAGUAGGUGGAAUGCGUGGUGUAGCGGUAAAAUGCAUAGAGAUCACGCAGAAUUCUGAUUGCGAAGGCAGCAUACCGGAACUCAACUGACGCUGAUGCACGAAAGCGUGGGUAGCGAACAGGAUUAGAUACCCUUGUAGUC
rnacentral:rRNA from 1 species